rnacentral:rRNA from 1 species
GGAGUUAGCCGGUGCUUCUUCUGUGUAGUGAUGUCCUUCCUGCCGGCUAUUAACCCGCAGGCCUUCUUCCUCACUGAAAGUGCUUUACAACCCGAAGGCCUUCUUCACACACGCGGCAUGGCUGGAUCAGGGUUGCCCCCAUUGUCCAAUAUUCCCCACUGCUGCCUCCCGUAGGAGUCUGGGCCGUGUCUCAGUCCCAGUGUGGCUGAUCAUCCUCUCAGACCAGCUACGGAUCGUCGCCUUGGUGAGCCGUUACCUCACCAACCAGCUAAUCCGACAUAGGCUCAUCCGAUAGCGCGAGGCCCGAAGGUCCCCCGNUUUCCCCCGUAGGGCCGUAUGCCGGUAUUAGCCUGGGUUUCCCCCAGGGUUAUCCCCCACUACCGGGCAGAUUCCUAUGCAUUACUCACCCGUCCGCCGCUCGCCACCAGGGAGCAAGCUCCCCGUGCUGCCGCUCGACUUGCAUGUGUUAGGCCUGCCGCCAGCGUUCAAUCUGAGCCAGGAUCAAACUCUGA